UACAGAGGUCCCAAGCGUUGUUCGGAUUCACUGGGCGUAAAGGGUGCGUAGGCGGCGCGGUAAGUCGGGUGUGAAAUCUCGGAGCUUAACUCCGAAACUGCAUUCGAUACUGCCGUGCUUGAGGACUGGAGAGGAGACUGGAAUUUACGGUGUAGCGGUGAAAUGCGUAGAUAUCGUAAGGAAGACCAGUGGCGAAAGGCGGGGUCUCUGGACAGUUCCUGACGCUGAGGCACGAAGGCCAGGGGAGCAAACGGG
rnacentral:rRNA from 1 species